rnacentral:rRNA from 1 species
UACGGAGGGUGCAGGCGUUAUCCGGAAUUACUGGGUUUAAAGGGUGCGUAGGCGGCUUGAUAAGUCAGGGGUGAAAGCCUAUCGGUUAACGAUAGAAUUGCCUUUGAUACUGUAAAGCUUGAAAGGGGUUGAGGUCAGCAGAAUGUGGCAUGUACCGGUGAAAUGCAUAGAUAUGCCAUAGAACACCGAUUGCGAAGGCAUCUGGCUGGGCCUACUUUCACGCUGAGGCACGAAAGCGUGGGGAGCGAACAGG